rnacentral:tRNA from 4 species
GCUGGCGUAGCUCAGUUGGUAGAGCAGCUGACUUGUAAUCAGCAGGUCGGGGGUUCGAAGCCUCUCGCCAGCU